rnacentral:rRNA from 1 species
CUUGCUUCCACUGAGAAGAUAGUGGCGAACGGGUGAGUAACACGUGGGUAACCUGCCCAUAAGAGGGGGGAUAACAUCCGGAAACGGGUGCUAAUACCGCAUAGUUUUCUUGAUCGCAUGAUCGGGAAGGAAAGACGGCCUUUGUGCUGUCGCUUAUGGAUGGACCCGCGGCGUAUUAGUUAGUUGGUGAGGUAACGGCUCACCAAGACGAUGAUACGUAGCCGACCUGAGAGGGUGAUCGGCCACAUUGGGACUGAGACACGGCCCAAACUCCUACGGGAGGCAGCAGUAGGGAAUCUUCCGCAAUGGACGAAAGUCUGACGGAGCAACGCCGCGUGAGUGAAGAAAGGUUUUCGGAUCGUAAAACUCUGUUGUCAGAGAAGAACAAGUUGGAGAGUAACUGCUCCAGCCUUGACGGUAUCUGACCAGAAAGCCACGGCUAACUACGUGCCAGCAGCGGC